CUGCGGGGCUGAGCAGGCAGGUAAGGCUGGGUGGGGCCACCGGGGCUGGCGUGGGGACACGCGGGGCUCACGGCGGGUGACGGGAUGGUGGCUGAUGUCCCGCGUCUCCCGCAGCUCCGCUCGCCUUCACCAUGCUCCAGCUGACCCGCGUCUACAAGGGCAAUUCCAUGUUCCGGGGGAACGCCAGCCUGAAUGGGCAGCUCAGCCAUGUCCUGGAAGGGAAUAAUGUCACCCAGGUGAUCCCGCUGGAGUCCCCGGACGCCUGGGCCCGGCGGCAGGAGGAGGUGAUCACCUACCUGGGGAACUUCAGGCAGCUGGUGAUGCUUUUCAACAAGGAGAGACCCACCGAUUUCACCCAUCACCUGUGCUGCCACCUCGGCUGCCGCCUCUACCCCAACGGCACAGCCCAGAGCUUUUACGAGGUGACCCUCAACAGGACGGCGUUCCUGAGCUUCCAUGUCCCCAGCGCCACCUGGGAGCGGCUCUGGCCCGGAGAGCUCCCGGUGGCCGCCUUCGCCCAGCAGCAGCUGAUGAAAUACCCCAUAACCACCCAGGACCUGCAGUAUUUCCUCAACACCACCUGUGUCAGCCUCCUGCAGGCUCAGAGCGCCAGGACAGGAAGAGUCAGCGGCCGAUCGCGCACUCCGCUGGUGCUGGGGCUGGUCCUGGGCAGCCUCGGCCUGCUGGGCAUGGCCCUGGCCAUCUUCCUGUGCACGGGAGGGAGCUGCUAGCGUGGGCAGCUGUCCCAUGUCACCCCAUGGACACAGGGGAUGGACCUGUCAUCUCCCCGUGCAGCCACCACCACCCUGUGGGGGCAGGGGACAGACCCAUCAUCACCCUGGGGAGUCAGGGAUGGAUCCAUCAUCUUCCCAAGGAUCCAGCAACUCUCCAUGGAUCCAUCAUCUCCCUGCAGAGUCAGGGAUGGAUCCAUCAUCUUCCCAAGGAUCCAGCAACUCUCCAUGGAUCCAUCAUCUCCCUGCAGAGUCAGGGAUGGAUCCAUCAUCUUCCCAAGGAUCCAGCAACUCUCCAUGGAUCCAUCAUCUCCCUGCAGAGUCAGGGAUGGAUCCGUCAUCUUCCCAAGGAUCCAGCAACUCUCCAUGGAUCCAUCAUCACCCUGUGGAGUCAGGGGAGGCAGGGAUGGAUCCAUCAUCCCUGCACAGAGACAGAGGGGGAUGAAAGCCCAUCAGGGGACCAAGGCCAUCCCUCACAAGGGAUGCAUGUACCCAGUGCCACAGGCUUUGCUCCCCAAGGACACCAGUGGCUUCCCAGUCCUGUCCCAGCUGGGCUGCCCCCUCCAGCAGCCCCCAGCCCUGUGGAUGGUCCUCACUUCAGGCAAUGCACUGAGACUCCACACAGAAACACUGGGCAUGGAUGGGAAAAUGGGGGAGAGAGAAGUGGGGGAAAAGCAGCAGGAGAAACAGCCAUGGAAUGGAUAAAAGGAUGGUGUUAAACCCUCAUUCAUCCCUGCUCCAGUGGGGAUGGAGGGAGGAUGUCACACCUUGUGUAAUAAAACCACCCAUCAGCUCCCACCACGCCUUUGGCUGCUCUUGUUCCCCCUGGCAGCACUGAUGUGGGGCUGUGGAUCCAUCCUGGGCCAUGGCUGCUGGUGCUGGGUGGGCUCGCUGGUAUUGCCAGCCCCUGUGCCAGCCCCUGGGUUGUGUACUAAGUUUUCCGGGUCUCUGGAAAGACACUGGUGGUGUUUGCACCUCCUGAGCUCAUUUCAACCCUCUCCCAGCUUUGGUUUGACUCAAUUGAGUAAUUUUCUCAACGUUUUUAAUUUCCUUGCUUGAUGUGAGAUGCUGAGGUCAAGUACACACAGCUGUGAGGGGACAGUUUUCCACAAUC
rnacentral:lncRNA from 1 species